rnacentral:rRNA from 1 species
UACAGAGGUCUCAAGCGUUGUUCGGAUUCAUUGGGCGUAAAGAGCUCGUAGGCGGUUCCGUAAGUCAGGUGUGAAAAUCUGGGCUCAACCCAGUGGAGCACCUGAUACUGCGGUGACUCGAGUCCGGUAGGGGAGUGUGGAAUUCCCGGUGUAGUGGUGGAAUGCGUAGAUAUCGGGAGGAACACCAGUGGCGAAGGCGGUUGCCUGGAGCUUUGCUGACGCUGAGGCGCGAAAGCGUGGGGAGCGAUCCGG